CCUANGGGGGGCAGCAACUGGGAAUAUUCGGCAAUGGACGAAAGUCUGACCGAGCGACGCCGCGUGGAGGAUGAAGGCCUAUGGGUUGUAAACUCCUUUUGAUAGUCCAUUCACGGACUAUAGAAUAAGCCCUUACUAACUACGUGCCAGAAGUCUCGGUAAUACGUAGGGGGCAAGCGUUAUCCGGAUUUAUUGGGCGUAAAGUGUGCGUAGGCUCCUUAAAAAGUCGCGUCUUAAAUAUUCGGGCUUAACCCGAAGCAUGGAUGCGAUACUAUUAGGGUUGAGGAUUGACAGGGAUGCUGGAACAGCUAGAGUAGCAGUGAAAUGCGUUGAUAUUAGCUGGAACACCAAAGGCGAAGGCAAGCAUCUAGGUUUUUCUCUGACGCUGAGGCACGAAAGCUAGGGUAGCGAAACAGAUUAGAUACCCUGNUANUC
rnacentral:rRNA from 1 species